UCAGCACCAGCUGGGCAGACUCGGAGACAGCCAGGGUAGAAUUAGCCCUGGAGGCAGGCGUGCAGACAGGUUGUGAGGAGGCUGGGAUGACGGCACACACUUGCUUUAAUAGCAGAGUGAAGACCGGGCAGAGGUGGAGUGUGGUCUGAGGUACAGGCAGGGAAGAAAGGGAAACACCACGCAGAGGCAGAAGCAUGACGGGAGCCAGAGCACUGUGGGACGACCUUGAACAGUGGCAAGAAAAGGAGCAAGCUGGCUCGGCUUGCCUUCCGUGCUGGCGAAGGGACUCUGCCAUCAUCACACGAAGUACAGUCACUUAGGAGAGGAGCAUCCAACCCUCAGACCUGGGGAGCUGCGAACAGCCCAACAGGAAGGACCAUGCCCAAGAUACAUUGUGUAAAGGCUGCUGUGCUGGAGAACACGUAUAUCAUUAGGGUUACCGACAGCAGAGAAAACAUGUGCUAGGCCUACGGAGCAUGAGAAGAACACCCUGUAUGAUGUCGGCUCAAGGCCAGAAAGGUUUCCUGUCUAGAGACCACAAAGCAGGUGCCGCUCUCCUGACGCGGACACUACGUUCACACUGUAGGUCUGCAGAGGACAGCAGCUGCCAGCUCCACAGCCAUCGGCACUGUGGUGUUAGAGGAGAAGGAUGCCUGGGAAAUGAGGAUCAGCGCCCUGAACUCACCAUUGCCAACAGCCCAAUCUAACACUUUCCGGGGAUAAGAAAUGGGAAACCCUGUUCUGAUUAGAAUUAAAAGCAGCACAUUCUAAGUCCUUGGGAUUUACAGAUUCAGAACUUAGCUCAAGAAAACCUCCCCAGUUUUAACAAUUAUAAAACAAGGUUAUUCGCUGUUGUGGAGGCAAUAAAAACAAACAAAAAUACAAUGAAAAACGUCUAUGUUCUAGUUCUUUCCAUUUCAAUGCGCCACUCCGUAUUUUGUUUACAGGGAUGGUUUUGUGAAUCUAUUUUCUG